GGCGCUAUAGCCAAGUGGUUACGGCGACAGAUUAGAAUCCCCUGUGGCAUACUAUCUGUUCCUCUUUGAGGGCGCAGGUUCAAAUCCUGCUGGCGUCG